rnacentral:rRNA from 1 species
CCUACGGGAGGCAGCAGUGGGGAAUUUUGGACAAUGGACGAAAGUCUGAUCCAGCCAUGCCGCGUGCGGGAAGAAGGCCUUCGGGUUGUAAACCGCUUUUGUCAGGGAAGAAAUCCCUUGGGAUAAUACCUCGGGGGGAUGACGGUACCUGAAGAAUAAGCACCGGCUAACUACGUGCCAGCAGCCGCGGUAAUACGUAGGGUGCAAGCGUUAAUCGGAAUUACUGGGCGUAAAGCGUGCGCAGGCGGUUAUGCAAGACAGAUGUGAAAUCCCCGGGCUCAACCUGGGAACUGCAUUUGUGACUGCAUAGCUUGAGUGCGGCAGAGGGGGAUGGAAUUCCGCGUGUAGCAGUGAAAUGCGUAGAUAUGCGGAGGAACACCGAUGGCGAAGGCAAUCCCCUGGGCCUGCACUGACGCUCAUGCACGAAAGCGUGGGGAGCAAACAGGAUUAGAUACCCUGGUACGUCCACGCCCUAAACGAUGUCAACUGGUUGUUGGGAAGGUUCCUCUCAGUAACGAAGCUAACGCGUGAAGUUGACCGCUGGGAGUCGGCGCAAGGUUGAAACUCGAAAGUAGUAAGUGGCGNGAGAGAGACGACGACGACGACGGAGGAGGAGG